rnacentral:misc_RNA from 1 species
UACGUAGGAGGCGAGCGUUGUCCGGAUUUACUGGGCGUAAAGGGCGUGUAGGCGGUCCGUUAAGUCCUGUGUGAAAUCUCCUGGCUCAACUGGGAGCGGUCACGGGAAACUGGCGGACUUGAGGGCGGUAGAGGAAAGCGGAAUUCCCGGAGUAGUGGUGAAAUGCGUAGAUACCGGGAGGAACACCAGUGGCGAAAGCGGCUUUCUGGACCGAUCCUGACGCUAAUGCGCGAAAGCUUGGGGAGCGAACCGG